AUAGUUUAUCAAAAAAGAAAGAAAGUGGGAAUAGUAUCAUGGCAAGAACUUGUCUGCAGUGAAAAAAAAAAACUUUUGAUGCCUAUAAAGAGAAACGUAGUAAGGCAUCAAGGACACACAUCUCUACGUGCACACUUCUUCUCUUCCAUAUGUCAUCUCCUCUUCCAUGUAAUCGUCUCUUCCAUCCCUCUUUCCCAUCCGCGGCCUUCCUUGGUAAUUCCGAAGAAUUUCCACUUUUGUUAGGAAGGACAUCAUCUUUGUAUAUUGUUGUAGUUUGCCUGUUGCUUGUUCCAAGCAGCGAUGAACAACUCCUACGAGGAUACAACGGAAGUGAAGCCAGUUAAUUGCAA